rnacentral:rRNA from 1 species
GAUGAACGCUGGCGGCGUGCCUAAUACAUGCAAGUCGAGCGAACGGACGAGAAGCUUGCUUCUCUGAUGUUAGCGGCGGACGGGUGAGUAACACGUGGAUAACCUACCUAUAAGACUGGGAUAACUUCGGGAAACCGGAGCUAAUACCGGAUAAUAUUUUGAACCGCAGGGUUCAAAAGUGAAAGACGGUCUUGCUGUCACUUAUAGAUGGAUCCGCGCUGCAUUAGCUAGUUGGUAAGGUAACGGCUUACCAAGGCAACGAUGCAUAGCCGACCUGAGAGGGUGGUCGGCCACCCUGGAACUGAGCCACGGUCCAUACUCCUGCGGUAGGCAGCAGUAUGCAAUCUUCCGCAAUGGGCGAGAGCCUGGCGGAGCAACGCCGCGCGAGUUGUGACGGCCUUCGGAUCGUAAAACUCUGUUAUUAGGGAAAAACAUAUGUGUCCUUAACUGUGCACAUCUUGACGGUACCUAAUCAGAAAGCCCCGGCUAACUACGUG